GUUAGCUCAGUCGGUAGAGCAACUGACUUUUAAUCAGUGGGUCGUAGGUUCGAAUCCUACACG
rnacentral:tRNA from 1 species